rnacentral:rRNA from 1 species
AGGGCACCACCAGGAGUGGAGCCUGCGGCUUAAUUUGACUCAACACGGGAAAUCUCACCAGGCCCGGACACCGGAAGGAUUGACGGAUUGAGAGCUCUUUCUUGAUUCGGUGGGUGGUGGUGCAUGGCCGUUCUUAGUUGGUGGAGCGAUUUGUCUGGUUAAUUCCGAUAACGAACGAGACUCUGGCCUACUAACUAGACGUUAGAUCCCUUUGUGGGUCUAUCGCAGCUUCUUAGAGGGACGGGCGGCGUUUAGCCGCACGAGAUUGAGCAAUAACAGGUCUGUGAUGCCCUUAGAUGUUCUGGGCUGCACGCGCGCUACACUGAAGGAAUCAGCGCGUGUUCCCUGUCCGAAAGGACUGGGAAACCCGUUGAACCUCCUUCGUGAUGGGGAUUGGGGAUUGCAAUUAUCCCCCAUGAACGAGGAAUUCCCAGUAGGCGCGAGUCAUAAGCUUGCGUCGAUUACGUCCCUGCCCCUUUGUACACACCCGCCCGUCGCUACUACCGAUCGAGUGAUUUA